UACGGAGGGUGCAAGCGUUAUCCGGAUUCACUGGGUUUAAAGGGUGCGUAGGAGGGCAGGUAAGUCAGCGGUGAAAUCGUCUGGGCUUAACCCGGAAACUGCCAUUGAUACUAUCUGUCUUGAAUAUGGUGGAGGUGAGCGGAAUAUGUCAUGUAGCGGUGAAAUGCGUAGAUAUCAAGAGGAACACCUGAGGUGAAGACGGGUUGCUGGGCUGACACUGACGCUGAGUGCGCGAAAGCCAGGGAGGCAAACGGG
rnacentral:rRNA from 1 species